rnacentral:rRNA from 1 species
UACAGAGGGGGCAAGCGUUGUUCGGAAUUACUGGGCGUAAAGGGCGCGUAGGCGGCCUGUUAAGUCGAACGUGAAAUCCCCGGGCUCAACCCGGGAACUGCGUCCGAUACUGGCAGGCUUGAAUCCGGGAGAGGGAUGCGGAAUUCCAGGUGUAGCGGUGAAAUGCGUAGAUAUCUGGAGGAACACCGGUGGCGAAGGCGACUACCUGGCCUGUUCUUGACGCUGAGGCGUGAAAGCUAGGGGAGCAAACGGG